UAGAAAAAAAAAAAGAAAAAAAGAAAAAAAAUGUGAAUUUAUCUUUUUUCCAAAAAAAAUUUUUCUUUUUCUAAUUAUGGCUUUUCUUGAUUUUUCUUCUUUUUUUCUUCUCUAUUCUUUCAAAUUAAGACCAUACUUAUAAAAAAAGUUGUACGGAAAAAUAAAAUAAAAUUUAAAGGGACCAUGUGGUAGGCGUAUGAGUUUGAAAAAUAGAAAAAAAGAAAGUUUUUUCUUAAAUGAAUGAUAUUCUUAAUUCUCU
rnacentral:ribozyme from 11 species